rnacentral:rRNA from 1 species
UACGGGGGGGGCAAGCGUUGUUCGGAAUUACUGGGCGUAAAGGGCUCGUAGGCGGCCAACUAAGUCCGACGUGAAAUCCCCAGGCUUAACCUGGGAACUGCGUCGGAUACUGGAUGGCUUGAAUUCGGGAGAGGGAUGCAGAAUUCCAGGUGUAGCGGUGAAAUGCGUAGAUAUCUGGAGGAACACCGGUGGCGAAGGCGGCAUCCUGGCCCUGCACUGACGCUCAGGGGCGAAAGCGUGGGGAGCAAACCGG